rnacentral:lncRNA from 13 species
GGAAGCCAGUGUUUACAACAGUUAGCUGAGGGGGUACUAAAUAAAUGUCAAACCUGCAACAACACCAUCUCCACACCAAACUUCAGCCACCCGCCGUUCCAAACCAGCACAGAACCAGCUCCUACCCAACACGGAGGGGAGGCACCUGCUCCAAACACAGCCGUGUGUGGCCUUCGCGGGGCACCGGACAAACCCCACCGAGUGCGAAGAAGAACCAGCUCCGUGCCGCUACCCCGGCUCUCUGCGGCACAAGAAUCUCCCACCCGCCAGGCGCUUCUAGGCGAGAUCUGCACGGCCCCAGCGCGGGGGGACGGCAGAGGGAGGGAGGCGAGCCGCGCCCGCAGCCUCGGCCGGGGAAGGGCUCAGGCCCCGCGGCAGGGCCGGAGCGGGCAGGGCCGGCCCCAGCAGGAGCCCCGCGCUCCCCUCCUCGGUCUGACUGCGACCCCGCCUCCGCCCGCCGGUGACACCGCGGAACCUCCGGUGCAGCCCGGCCCGGGCCCGGCCCGCAGGGCCCCCGCCGCCUCAGCGCUGCCGCCACCGGGCGGUGCCGCCCCUCACGGACAGGCCCCGGGGAGGCCGCGCUCUUCGGGUGGCGGAGAGAAGGAGCGGGGCCGCGGCGGGCGGCGGCCCGAGGAGCGGCGCUGGGUGCCGGGGCGGCGGGAGGGCAGCGGGGGCGGGGGGUCCCGGGCAGCCCCGGUCUCACCUGUCCCGGCGGGUCCCGCCCGGCUCCGGCCGCGCCACUCCCGCCUCUGCCGCGUGCGGCUCCCGCCCGGCCCCCCCCGCCGGCCCGCGCGCCCCGGCCAAUCAGCGCCCGGCACCGCCGGCGCCACCGACCAAUCAGCGGAAGGAACGCGUCCCCGCCCAGCGCCACCGGCCGCCGGGCCACGCCCACCCGCGCUCCCGCCAGGCCUAUCCCGUGACACGGGAGGGGGCGGCGCCCGGCGCCCGGCGGCCAAUGAGAAAUCACAGCGCGUCCCGCCGCAGCCAAUCGGCGCCCGCGCAGCGCCUCCCCGCAGGAAAGGGCGGCGGGAAUGGGGCGGGGGGGCACGGUGGGCUGUCCCGUCACGUGACCGCCCGGUGACGGGGACCCCUCAGCGCCGCGGGGCCGGCAGCGCCCGGCGGGUCCCGGAGCUGAGGGACGGCCGUCCCAGGCAGCGCCCAGGGACCAGCCCGCGGCCAUCGGGGGGGUGGGGUCGCCUCCGGUGCCCCAGCCGGGGCAGGAUGGCGCGGGGUCGCCGCUUCCGCGGCCUGCGGGGCCACCGGAAUGGUAGAGAGAUCGUGAGGCCUCCCCGUUCCACCGCCUCUCUCAGCCUCGGGCCGCUGCUGCUUCUCACUGCCUGGAUGUGUCUCCCCUGGGGCUGGAUGGCCUCUGCCCCCCGCCUCGUGCCUGCGUUUCCCGAAUAG